CAAGUAAUAGAGGCGGUAGUAGUGAUUAGCGGCGGAACUCCGAGAACCAAGAGGCCGGUAUGCAGAUGGGUUCACAACCGUGCAGUUUGUGAUUGGCACAAUGGAAGAAGCUGAAACCUGUGGGGUAGGGGAAAAAGCAGGAAGAGAAGUAUUAGUAUUGAUGCAAGCCUUAAACACUCUUUCAACCCCAGAGGAGAAGUUGGCAGCUCUUUGUAAGAAAUAUGCUGAUCUUAAUCCAACAAUGCAGCCAUAAAAUAAAUCACCACGGCCAAGUAGGAUUUAUUCCAGGGACACACACAUGGUUCAACAUCCCAAAAUCAAUCAAUGUAAUCCAACCCAUCAACCAAAAGAAAUACAAAAACCAUAUGAUAAUAUUCAUAGAUGCUGAGAAAGCAUUCGACAAAGUACAACACCCAUUUAUGAUAAAGGCCCUUUAAAUUCUCGGGAUACAAGAAACAUACAUCAACAUCAUAAA